rnacentral:rRNA from 1 species
GGCCUGAGAGGGUGACCGGCCACACUGGGACUGAGACACGGCCCAGACUCCUACGGGAGGCAGCAGUGGGGAAUAUUGCACAAUGGGCGAAAGCCUGAUGCAGCGACGCCGCGUGAGGGAUGACGGCCUUCGGGUUGUAAACCUCUUUCAGUAGGGAAGAAGCGAAAGUGACGGUACCUGCAGAAGAAGCACCGGCUAACUACGUGCCAGCAGCCGCGGUAAUACGUAGGGUGCGAGCGUUAUCCGGAAUUAUUGGGCGUAAAGAGCUCGUAGGCGGUUUGUCGCGUCUGUCGUGAAAGUCCGGGGCUUAACCCCGGAUCUGCGGUGGGUACGGGCAGACUAGAGUGCAGUAGG